AGCCCACAUGAAUCGAAGAAACUG
rnacentral:siRNA from 1 species